rnacentral:rRNA from 1 species
AGUCAGGGAGAAGUCUCUUCGGGGAUGAUUAAACCGGCGCACGGGUGAGUAACACGUGAGUGACCUGCCUUUUAGACUGGAACAACUUACCGAAAGGUGAGCUAAUGCCGGAUGAGUUAUAUAAGUGCAUGUUUAUAUAGGAAAAGUUGGGGAGACCUGACGCUGAAAGAUGGACUCGCGUCCCAUUAGCUAGUUGGUAGGGUAAUGGCCUACCAAGGCGACGAUGGGUAGCCGGCCUGAGAGGGUGGCCGGCCACACUGGGACUGAGACACGGCCCAGACUCCUACGGGAGGCAGCAGUGGGGAAUUUUGCGCAAUGCUCGUAAGAGUGACGCAGCGACGCCGCGUGAAUGACGAAGGCCUUCGGGUCGUAAAGUUCUUUCGACAGGGAAGAAAAUGCCUAUAAGUAACUGUGUAUGUAUUGACGGUACCUGUAUAAGCAGCCCCGGCUAACUCCGUGCCAGCAGCCGCGGUAAUACGGAGGGGGCGAGCGUUGUUCGGAGUGACUGGGCGUAAAGAGCACGUAGGCGGUGUUGUAAGUCAUUAGUCAAAGACUAGAGCUCAACUUUAGUAAGGCUAGUGAUACUAUAAUACUAGAGUAUCAGAGAGGAUUGCAGAAUUCCUGGUGUAGCGGUGAAAUGCGUAGAUAUCAGGAGGAAUACCGUUAGCGAAGGCGGCAAUCUGGCUGGAAACUGACGCUGAGGUGCGAAAGCGUGGGUAGCAAACAGGAUUAGAUACCCUGGUAGUCCACGCUGUAAACGAUGGAUGCUAGGUGUUGGGCUUUUAAGUUCAGUGCCGCAGCAAACGCGAUAAGCAUCCCGCCUGGGGAGUACGUUUG